AACUAACGCUGGCGGCGUGCCUAACACAUGCAAGUCGUACGAGAAAGUUGGCUUCGGCCGAUGAGUACAGUGGCGCACGGGUGAGUAACGCGUGGAUAAUCUGCCCUUAAGUGUGGAAUAACGUACCGAAAGGUGCGCUAAUACCGCAUAAUGCCUGGCAACAUAAGUUGUCCGGCCAAAGAAGGCCUCUGCUUGCAAGCUUUCGCUAAAGGAUGAGUCCGCGUACCAUUAGCUAGUUGGUGGGGUAACGGCCUACCAAGGCGACGAUGGUUAGCUGGUCUGAGAGGAUGAUCAGCCACACUGGAACUGAGACACGGUCCAGACUCCUACGGGAGGCAGCAGUGAGGAAUAUUGCGCAAUGGGGCAACCCUGACGCAGCAACGCCGCGUGAGUGAGGAAGGUUUUCGGACUGUAAAGCUACUGUCGAGCGGGAAGAAGUGUACCAUGGCUAAUAUCCAUGAUAUUUGACGGUACCGCUAGAGG
rnacentral:rRNA from 1 species